ACAAAUAUAUAUGAUAAAAAUAUAUGAGAUAAAUAUAUGAGACAAAUAUAUGAGAUAACACACUUAAUGUAUCUCAAUUUUUCUGCAUACCCUUGACAAAGAAAGUAGGAAACUACUUGCCUUUGAGUGGGAAAAUCCAGAAAAUGGAAGGAAAACUCAGCUCACCUGGACACACCUCCCACAAGGAUACAAGAACAGUCCAACCCUAUUUGGAAGCCAGCUAUCUAAGGAGCUGGAGAUUUGGACUGAGAAUGAGCAAGUACUGAGAGAACAAUACCUGCUGUUACAGUAUGUUGAUGAUAUACUGACAAUUACAGAAGAGAAAACAACCUGCAUAAAGAACCCCAGAACCUGCAUGAGCUGCGAGUUUUCCUUGGGAUGACAGGGUGGUGCCACCUGUGGAUCAUGGACUAUGGACUAAUUGCAAAACCCCUGUAUGAAGCCCAGAAGACACAACCAUUUACCUGGGGCAAACCACAGAAGGAGACCUUCCUCAAACUGAAGGAGGCAUUGACAACGGCUCCGGCAUUAGGAUUGCCUGAUUUACCCAAAGAUAUUCACCUGUUUGUGCAUGAAAGACUACACCUAGCACUGGGAGUGCUGACCCAACCUUUGGGAGGCUGGAAAAGGCCGGUAGGCUACUUCUCCAAACAACUUGACAAUGAGAGUGCCUGAUGGCCUUCGUGCCUGCGGGCAGUUGUAGCCACUGUGAUGCUGAUACAAGAAGCCAGGAAACUCACAAUGGGUAGAGACAUAGAUGUCUACACAUGGUGACCACUGUUUUAGAACAAAAGGGGGGCCAUGGGCUAUAUCCAAGCAGGAUGAUGAAAUUCCAGGUAAUCCUGACUGAGCAGGAUGAUGUCACACAAAAGACAACUAACCUCUUGAAUCCAGCUUUGUUCCCACGUACCACAACUGAAGAAGGCCCAUUAGAGCACGACUGUGUAGAA